rnacentral:rRNA from 1 species
UACGUAGGGUGCAAGCGUUGUCCGGAAUUAUUGGGCGUAAAGAGCUCGUAGGCGGUUUGGUAAGUCAGGUGUGAAAACUCUGGGCUCAACCCAGAGAGGCCACUUGAUACUGCUAUGACUUGAGUACGGUAGGGGAGUGGGGAAUUUCUAGUGUAGCGGUGAAAUGCGCAGAUAUUAGAAGGAACACCAGUGGCGAAGGCGCCACUCUGGGCCGUAACUGACGCUGAGGAGCGAAAGCAUGGGUAGCAAACAGG